rnacentral:rRNA from 1 species
UACGUAGGGUGCAAGCGUUAAUCGGAAUUACUGGGCGUAAAGCGUGCGCAGGCGGUUUUGUAAGUCUGUCGUGAAAGCCCCGGGCUCAACAUGGGAAUUGCGAUGGAGACUGCAAGGCUUGAAUCUGGCAGAGGGGGGUAGAAUUCCACGUGUAGCAGUGAAAUGCGUAGAGAUGUGGAGGAACACCGAUGGCGAAGGCA